CUUUUCUGUAGAUUUUUAUUAGAGCAUCACAGUUUUUGCAAUAUUUUGUCUUUUAAGCGUUUCUGAUCGGGUCGAUUUUCUUAACAAAGCUAUAGAACGAUAAGAAGAAUAUUUUGGACGAAAAUUUACGAUAAUUUCGACUUCACAACGCUGUGAAACUUGAUUCGCAAAUUUGAAGGAGCGAGCAACCCUACAAUACACAAACUUGUUCGAAAUAAGACAAAGGAUUUUUGUUUCAAAAUCGAUUUGAAGUGUUAGGUUCAGUCAACCAUUUGUAUUCUUAUCAGAAGCGAAAAUGACGACUUUAAUUUGAACAUAUCUUUUUUGCUUGAGCAAAUUGGAAUUGGCUGGCAAAGAUGAGCUGGUCGAGUCUCUUCUUGCUCUUCAAGUUUGUUAUAAAGUUCUUCAUCCCCAUUUUCCUGUAUAAUGUUCUUAAUCACUGUAUACAUUGUUUACUUAAAAAUUAUUUCAUAUUUAUAGAAAAAUCGUUCAUAAAAGUUAUCUCACUGGUGAAGUUUGACAUGCACUCUUUUGAAUUUUGUUAUUUCCAUUAUGUGCAUUAGACUUUCUUUUUUUUGCAAAUUUACAAUGCGCAUUGGAUGCA